GUAGGUGGCGAGCGUUAUCCGGAAUUACUGGGCGUAAAGGGCACGCAGGCGGCCAAGCAAGUCUGACGUGAAAGCUCCUGGCUUAACUGGGAGAGGUCGUUGGAAACUGCCUGGCUUGAGGAAAUGAGAGGGGUGCGGAAUUCCCGGUGUAGUGGUGGAAUGCGUAGAUAUCGGGAGGAACACCAGUGGCGAAAGCGGCACCCUAGCAUUGACCUGACGCUCAUGUGCGAAAGCGUGGGGGGGAGCGAACGGGAUUAGAUACCCCGGUAGUCCACGCUGUAAACGAUGAGAACUAGGUGUGGGUAGUGUUAAAACUAUCUGUGCCGAAGCAAACGCGAUAAGUUCUCCGCCUGGGAGUACGGCCGCAAGGCUA
rnacentral:rRNA from 1 species